rnacentral:rRNA from 1 species
GUGAGGAAUAUUGGGCAAUGCCCGCAAGGGUGACCCAGCAACGCCGCGUGGAGGAUGAAUGUCGUAAGAUUGUAAACUCCUGUUAGAGGGGAAGAAUAGUACCGGUUGGACCGGUAUAUGACUGUACCCUCAGAGAAAGCCCCGGCUAACUACGUGCCAGCAGCCGCGGUAAUACGUAGGGGGCAAGCGUUGUCCGGAUUUACUGGGUGUAAAGGGCGCGCAGGCGGGAUAAAAAGUCAGUGGUGAAAUCCUACAGUUUAACUGUAGAACUGCCUUUGAUACUUUUAUUCUUGAGUUCGGGAGAGAGAGACGGAAUUCCAGGUGUAGUGGUGAAAUACGUAGAUAUCUGGAAGAACACCAGUUGCGAAGGCGGUCUCUUGGUCCGACACUGACGCUGAGGCGCGAAAGCGUGGGGAGCAAACA